CCUACGGGAGGCAGCAGUGAGGAAUAUUGGUCAAUGGCCGCAGGGCUGAACCAGCCAAGUCGCGUGAGGGAUGACGGUCCUAUGGAUUGUAAACCUCUUUUGUCAGGGAACAAAGGCCGCCACGCGUCGCGUGUUGCGAGUACCUGAAGAAAAAGCAUCGGCUAACUCCGUGCCAGCAGCCGCGGUAAUACGGAGGAUGCGAGCGUUAUCCGGAUUUAUUGGGUUUAAAGGGUGCGCAGGCGGAAUGUCAAGUCAGCGGUAAAAUUUCGGGGCUCAACCCCGUCCUGCCGUUGAAACUGGCAGUCUUGAGUGGGCGAGAAGUAUGCGGAAUGCGUGGUGUAGCGGUGAAAUGCAUAGAUAUCGCGCAGAACUCCGAUUGCGAAGGCAGCAUGCCGGCGCUAAACUGACGCUGAGGCACGAAAGCGUGGGUAUCGAACAGGAUUAGAUACCCGAGUAGUC
rnacentral:rRNA from 1 species